CGUAGGGACCAAGCGUUGUUCGGAUUUACUGGGCGUAAAGGGCGCGUAGGCGGCAAUUCAAGUCAUCUGUGAAAUCUCCGGGCUUAACCCGGAACGGUCAGGUGAUACUGCUUUGCUAGAGUGCGGAAGGGGCAAUCGGAAUUCUUGGUGUAGCGGUGAAAUGCGUAGAUAUCAAGAGGAACACCUGAGGUGAAGACGGGUUGCUGGGCCGACACUGACGCUGACAGCGCGAAAGCCAGGGGAGCAAACGGGAUUAGAUACCCCGGUAGUCCUGGCCCUAAACGAUGAAUACUUGGUGUCUGGAGUUAUUAGUGCUCCGGGUGCCGUCGCUAACGUUUUUAGUAUUCCGCCUGGGGAGUACGCUCGCAAGAGUG
rnacentral:rRNA from 1 species